rnacentral:rRNA from 1 species
UCCUACGGGAGGCAGCAGUGAGGAAUUUUCCGCAAUGGGCGAAAGCCUGACGGAGCAAUGCCGCGUGGAGGAUGAAGGCCCGUGGGUUGUAAACUCCUUUUCUUAGAGAAGAAGAUCUGACGGUAUCUAAGGAAUAAGCAUCGGCUAACUCCGUGCCAGCAGCCGCGGUAAUACGGAGGAUGCAAGCGUUAUCCGGAAUCAUUGGGCGUAAAGGGUCCUGAGGUGGCCUGCCCAGUCCGCUGUGAAAGAUCAGGGCUCAACCCUGAAUAUGCGGUGGAAACUAGCAGGCUAGAAUACGGUAGGGGCAGGGGGAAUUCCCGGUGUAGCGGUGAAAUGCAUAGAUAUCGGGAAGAACACCAACGGCGAAGGCACCCUGCUGGGCCGAUAUUGACACUGACAGACGAGAGCUAGGGGAGCGAAUGGGAUUAGAUACCCCAGUAGUCCUAGCCGUAAACGAUGGAUACCAAGUGCUGAACGACUCAAAACGUGCAGUGCUGCAGCUAACGCGCUAAGUAUCCCGCCUGGGGAGUAUGCCCGCAAGAGUGAAACUCAAAUGAAUUGACGGGG